CUGAAUGGACCCCCGUGCCCCCUCCGGGUCGUGCUCCGCGGAGCGCUGCGAACUGAUAAACUCUAACUUGAGCAAUAAUAAUAAGCACAUCAGAACCGCUUGUUUACUGCGGCGCUGCGCGGGCUGCGGGGCCGGGAUCGCUGCGGGAAACGGUGUAACCCGAAGGAAACACUGUAGAACGGGGGGAUAUGGCAGUGGAAGGGCGGAUCCGGCUCGCGAGGAGGGAGCUCGGUGAGCGCUUGGCUGGGACGUGCGCCCGUGCGUAAGGACCGCGCUCAGCCCCGCUGCGGCGACGCGGAUUUGCGCUGCUUCCGCCUCGUUCUUUGCCGUCCCGACGGAGCCCGACAGCCCCGUAUCCUCGAACAAAACCCGCGGGGUCGGCACCGAAAGGCCUCUUAGUGCUGCGCUCCGGGUCCCGCCGGGCGGGGCGGCGCGGGAGCGGUGCGCGGG
ensembl:lncRNA